rnacentral:tRNA from 1 species
UUAUUAAUAGUUAAGUAGAUAACACUAAAAUGCAAUUUUAGAAUUGGAUCAUAAGAUCUUAAUAAA